UACGUAGGGUGCGAGCGUUGUCCGGAAUUAUUGGGCGUAAAGAGCUUGUAGGCGGUUUGUCGCGUCUGCCGUGAAAAUCCGGGGCUCAACCCCGGACUUGCGGUGGGUACGGGCAGACUAGAGUGUGGUAGGGGAGACUGGAAUUCCUGGUGUAGCGGUGAAAUGCGCAGAUAUCAGGAGGAACACCGAUGGCGAAGGCAGGUCUCUGGGCCACUACUGACGCUGAGGAGCGAAAGCGUGGGGGAGCGAACAGG
rnacentral:rRNA from 1 species